UUUUAAUCAGUCUGCAUAGAUAAAAUGUGUCUCGUGUCUCAUUUCUUUUUAUUUAUAUUGAAGUGUGAAAUGAUACAACAAAACACUAAAGUGGGUUUUCAAGCAAAUUAAAUUGACUAAAUGUGAACUGUUAAUUUUCCCACAUAACAUAUCAGUCCAAUCCAUCGUUGCGAGGCUGUUUCUUUUAAUUACUUUUAUGGUGCCAGUUUUUUACUAGUCAUAUAAUAAUGUGAAUUUGUUCAUAAUAAGUAUAGUAAGCAGAAACUAAUGAUAAGUUUGUUCGAUAGAUGAGUUACUGAAUAAAUUCGAGUGAGCCAAUAUGAUGAAAAGCUUCGAAGCUUCAUGGAACGUCAUCAUCAGUAAAGGUGCAAAAGCCAGUUUUAACGUCAGAGUCUAGGUACAAUCUACUUGUUCUAUUUCUAUGUGUGAUUCGCCGACUAAACUGGUCUAGACCCGACCAAUCAGCUACUGUUAUGUUGCUUCUUGGUUUGCUGCCAGCCAAUUGGGGGUCACUGUUUUUUGCUACCAGCUAAUGGGGGGCCGCAGUGUUUUAGGGCUCUGGAAGCGGUGUGGAACCGGCCAUCUUGUAUGUUUUUGUUUCAAUUGUUACGGGAAGCGAGGGGGAAACCCGCCGUGACAUCAAUCGAUGGUCUGAGAUUCUGAUGACAAACGGCCAAUCAGAAAUCCGGGAAGAGGCGCGCGGGCGUCUCUGAUCCAACCAUCCUGCCUGUGUCCAGUCUCUGGUCCAACCAUCCUGCCUGUAUCCAGUCCAGUCUCUGGUCCAACCAUCCUGCCUGUGUCCAAUCCAGUCUCUGGUCCUGCCAUCCUGCCUGUGUCCAGUCUCUGGUCCAACCAUCCUGCCUGUGUCCAAUCCAGUCUCUGGUCCUGCCAUCCUGCCUGUGUCCAGUCUCUUAUCCAACCAUCCUGCCUGUGUCCGGUCUAGUCUCUGGUCCAACCAUCCUGCCUGUGUCCAGUCUAGUCUCUGGUCCAACCAUCCUGCCUGUGUCCAGUCUCUGGUCCAACUAUCCUGCCUGUGUCCAGUCUCUGGUCCAACUAUCCUGCCUGUGUCCAGUCUCUGAUCCAACCUUCCUGCCUGUGUCCAGUCUCUGAUCCAACCAUCCUGCCUGUAUCCAGUCCAGUCUCUGGUCCAACCAUCCUGCCUGUGUCCAAUCCAGUCUCUGGUACUGCCAUCCUGCCUGUGUCCAGUCUCUUAUCCAACCAUCCUGCCUGUGUCCGGUCUAGUCUGUGGUCCAACCAUCCUGCCUGUGUCCAGUCUAGUCUCUGGUCCAACCAUCCUGCCUGUGUCCAGUCCAGUCUCUGGUCCUGCCAUCCUGCCUGUGUCCAGUCUCUUGUCCAACCAUCCUGCCUGUGUCCAGUCUCUUGUCCAACCAUCCUGCCUGUAUCCAGUCUCUGGUCCAACCAUCCUGCCUGUGUACUCGUAAAGCUGAGACCAAACAAAUCAAUGAGGCAAAAAAAAGAUAUAAAUAGGUACAAAACAAACAAACAAACAAACAAAUAAAUAAUUCAGGCAGACACAUUCAUAACUAUAUAACUGCUGUACUGUUGUUAACUGUUAGAUUAAUAUUAGUACCUGUAAUAAUGUUAAGGCGUGUGUAUACACUCAUACUAAAAUACAUUCAUAUAUUCCUAUGCAAAUACAAUAUAACACAUAAUCACAUAACACUUAGGGGCUGUGACAUACAAUAACACAACUAGUAUGAUCAAACAUUAUUAAUAGUGAUAACAAUAAAUGACAGCAGUACUCACAGCUAAGUUUAGGAAGCAUGUUUAUCAGCUCAGACGUUGAGUGUCCCACUUCAAGGUUAGUAAAGCUGUAACAUAAGAUUGUUCACUAAAAGAGCAGGGCAGACAUUGGUGCAUUGCCAACAGUGAAAACUGGGGUGAUGAGAGGAGCCCGGCCAUCCAGCCAACAAGCAGAGGAAAGAAUCCUAGCAGCCAGGCAGCCCACACACCUUCAGUUCCAGGAGGGCAGGUGUCGUGACCUGAGUCAGCCACACAGAACCCCCCAGCAGCAGCCACAGAGACGACACAAUGGGUCAGAAUGGACCACUGUGGGUCAACGUUGUCCACCCCAAGAGAACAAGCGGAAAACACUCCCUCCAGUGGGAGGGUUGGCCCACCUGUAGGGCAGGGGUGUCAAACUCAUUCUUUCUUAUAAUACGAUAAUACGAUAAACAUAAAACAUAAGCUGAAGCCUGACAACAUCACUAUUAAUCAGAAAACACCAAGUUAUUUAAAUAUUUUGAGGACAGAGAGCUCACAAUGCCUCAGUAAAUUGACUGCUGAUACAGUACCUGGUAUCUUUUAGUUUUCACCAGCGUAUCAAUAUUAAGCAUCACCUCUGAGUGGCAGCCAUGUGAUUCAAGUGGUUGUGCGCGAGCCUGGAGCGCAGUUUUGUUUAUGGUCAUUACAGAGAAAACUUGCUCCCGGACAUGUGCAGUUCCAAACAUCCACAACAGUUUUGCAGCAAGGGUUGUCAAGUUGGGCUAACCUGGCAAGGGAUUCUAUUAAAAUGUGGUCAGCUGCGGCAAAUGUGCCCUUCAAAUUAGAGUCACACUGCAAGCCUAUUAUUUCAAGUUGGAUGCUGAUGCAUCAGAUGGAUCAGAUCAGAUGGAUUCAUGGUGGAUGGUGAGCAAAACACAUCACCACCGGCGAGUUGCCACAACGACAGCUUCAAGGUGAAGGAACGUCUGCUGUCAUAACACAGCGGGACAACUUUCGUUGCGCCUGCUUUCUGCCCGAUCGUUGAGGCCCCACCAUCUGUAGCCAGGCUGACAGCCACUGCGAUCUUAUUAGAGGUGAGGUAGCUAGCUUUCACUGCAGCGUCACUGAUGUCUCGGCUGAGAUUAAACGCAGACCGGUCAACAGUUCAUUCACCUUCUGUCUUCUCCGCUGUCCUUGGAAGUCGUCCUACAGUAUUUGUCGGCAUGAAGACUCACAUAGUGGUGACAAAGGUUAAAUUUUUUCAGCACUGUAACAUGCUGUGAACUUUCCCAUUCACUUCCGUGAAUAAAUUAGGACAUGACCAUUUUUCUUGGAACACUCUGUGUCCACUUUUAUUUGAGACAUACUGGGGCGAAGACGUGCCAAGGCAAAUAAUGUUGAAAGUAGAAUCCAUAAUAAGUAGUGAGGGCUAAACAAAGUAGCUCAUCCAGACUGGCUGCCGCUUGACCUACUUGCUCUGUCCCGGUAUAAACAGUUCUUGCUUAACAUAAUUGCUACUGCGCCACCAAGUGGACAAUUGAAACAGCUGUUGAUUUUAUUGAAAAAUUGCAGCUAAUUUUAAUACGUUACAAAAUCAUCUCGCGGGCCAUACAUUUGCUGUACCCCUACCCCUGCUGUAGGGAGUCCACCAGGAGAUUCUCCCGUGACAAGAUAGGGAAUAUGGUCGGGUGCCGUAACUUCACUACCCUACCAUGUUAGUGGAGUCUGUAGAAGAAGAGACCACCCAGGCAUAUGGGGUGCCAAUUGUAAAAGGAACACCGAUAACUAGUUUUCUCACAUUUAGUUAAAUGUGCAAAAGUCUAAAUGUAAAUGUUUAAUGUAAAUUUUAAAUGUAAAAUGUAAAUGUUAAAUAUAAAUGUUAAAUGAUCGAAUAUUUAAGUAGACUCCACCCCCUAUGAUCCUAGAUCAGUGACGCGGACUCAAACACCUCAAACAGUAUGCAUAGCUCCGCCCACAUCUGACUCUGAAUCGGUGGACGACAAUACUGGAGAGAAACCUGAAGUCGAAGCCGUCAGCUCCGACUCCCUCCCGUUAGGAGACAUUGAACAGGCUUUAACGGCGGGUGUGCGGGCUGACGCUCCGCUUCAAAGUGCUGUUCUGUCGUAAACACCAUUAACGGGGAGUUAAGUAGGUUUUGAAUAGAGUAUUUCUGUGGCGCCGGUGGAGAAUUAGUUAGCUAACUUCACUAGCUAGCCGAGUUACUUCCACGCUAUAAACGAAAGUUUCCAGGUCAGAUGUGAGCGGGGUUUGCGCGCACUGUUUGAGGUGUUUGGGUUCUCGUCUCUGAUCUGAGACCAGCGCUGUUUGAGGGUAGGGAUGGAGUCUACUUGCACAAUCAUUAAUAUUCAGUCUUAUACUCGGCAAUCAUUUAACAUUUACAUUUAACAUUUACAUUCAACAUUUACAUUUAGACUUUUGCACAUUUAACUAAAUGUGAGAAAACAUGUUGUGUCAUUUAGUUAAAUGUGAGAAAACUAGUUAUAGGUGCCCUUUUUACAACCCACACAGGCAGCGGAUCCACGCACCCGGAGCGGAGAACAGACACCCCCAGAGUGUAGUGGAGAGAUUUCCAGGAGUACUACCACUGGCUAACAAUGUGUCUCCUGGACAGUGUCCCACCCUUCGGGCACAGGCAGGCAUCCCCAGAAGAGCCUCUGUUAAUCUAAUCUACCCUCUAUUAAUGAGAAGUUAUCAGCUGAGUAAAUGCUCUUUUGGUCAAAUAAGAGAAGAGUGUUCAGUGUGAUGUUUCCUACCAGACUAUUUUCUUUCCAUUUCAAACAUGAAGAAGAACAAAGGCGUUGUGAAAUAUUCUCAAUUCUCACUCUGUGACUUUAUUUUUUGGAUGUGUUCCAUGAUGCUUCGCAAGAGUAGCACAUACAUUAUAGUACAGUACCAUUGAUAGUAAAAUACUAUUUAUAUACUUGA